GUUAUCGCCUAGUCACAGGGGCAGAUGGAAGAGAAGGAUGGCAGUUAUCGCCUAGUCACAGGGGCAGAUAUUAGAGAAGGACGGCAGUUAUCGCCUAGUCACAGGGGCAGAUGGAAGAGAAGGACGGCAGUUAUCGCCUAGUCACAGGGGCAGAUGGAAGAGAAGGACGGCAGUUAUCGCCUAGUCACAGGGGCAGAUAUUAGAGAAGGACGGCAGUUAUCGCCUGGUCACAGGGGCAGAUAUUAGAGAAGGACGGCAGUUACCGCCUAGUCACAGGGGCAGAUAGAAG
rnacentral:lncRNA from 1 species